AUGCCUUUGUUUAUGCUCAUGUCAAUGUGUCCUACCUUAGCGAAGAUAGCAGAGUUCAGCAAGGUAACAGAACGUCUUCAACAACUGUAAUCGGCAAUUCCCGGACGGAUCGAGCCGAUGUCCCCGCGUGUAAACUCCUACACUAAAUAGCUCCUCACAAUGAAGGAAAGACUUGCAACGAGAGCCUCAUGCAAAAUUUGCUUACGCUUACUAAAUCAGAAACAACAUGAUCGCUGUCGAUACAAUCACCCUACAGUGAAUGGAGUCACGGCUAUACCGUGCAAGCUCUGAAAUAGAACGCAGCAGCGGCUGCGAGAUCAUAGCAGGAAGCUGUGGAAACAAAAAAAUCUCAACGUGUCAUUGAGAAAAGCCCCCACUUUGUACCCUUUCAUUUCAUUCUGAUUUACCAACAUGGAUGGUAUCUCGAGAUCCAUCUCGCUGAAGAGCUUAAGUACCCAUCAUCAGUUAUAGAACUUACAUUCUCUGUUAACAUCGUCAUUUCAGGAUGAGGCAUGAACGGUAUAAAAAACCACCA
rnacentral:sRNA from 1 species